rnacentral:rRNA from 1 species
GAUGAACGCUGGCGGCGUGCCUAAUACAUGCGAGUCGAGCGAACAGACGAGGAGCUUGCUCCUCUGACGUUAGCGGCGGACGGGUGAGUAACACGUGGAUAACCUACCUAUAAGACUGGGAUAACUUCGGGAAACCGGAGCUAAUACCGGAUAAUAUAUUGAACCGCAUGGUUCAAUAGUGAAAGACGGUUUUGCUGUCACUUAUAGAUGGAUCCGCGCCGCAUUAGCUAGUUGGUAAGGUAACGGCUUACCAAGGCGACGAUGCGUAGCCGACCUGAGAGGGUGAUCAGCCACACUGGAACUGAGACACGGUCCAGACUCCUACGGGAGGCAGCAGUAGGGAAUCUUCCGCAAUGGGCGAAAGCCUGACGGAGCAACGCCGCGUGAGUGAUGAAGGUCUUCGGAUCGUAAAACUCUGUUAUUAGGGAAGAACAAAUGUGUAAGUAACUAUGCACGUCUUGACGGUACCUAAUCAGAAAGCCACGGCUAACUACGUG